UACGUAGGGACCAAGCGUUGUUCGGAUUUACUGGGCGUAAAGGGCGCGUAGGCGGCCAGCACAAGUCAGUUGUGAAAUCUCCGAGCUUAACUCGGAACGGUCAACUGAUACUGUGCGGCUAGAGUGCAGAAGGGGCAACUGGGAAUUCUUGGUGUAGCGGUGAAAUGCGUAGAUAUCAAGAGGAACACCUGCGGCGAAGGCGGGUUGCUGGGCUGACACGAUGACGCUGGAGGCGCGAAAGCCUAGGGGAGCGAACGGG
rnacentral:rRNA from 1 species